UGGAACUUAAGACUGGGACCCGAGCUGUUGGGGAAUCGGCCUCGGGGCAGCAGCCGAAGUGAGGAACUGGGUCCCACAGGAAAACGGGACUAAGGACAGCAGGGGUGUGUGGCCAGCCCUGGAAGGGGCGGGGCCAGGGGCAAACAGCCACAAGGGGCUGGGGCUGGAGGCGCUCAAAAGCGGAGAAGGCGGAGUCCCAGGCCCAGCCGGCGGUACCGCUGGGAAGUGAGGGCGCCUUGGACGGCGAGGGCAACUCUUAUCAGUUUGACUGUCUGAAAUGCAGCACGGCGCUAGGCGCUCUCCAGACCUCCCUGUGACUCCAACAGGCUGUGACCUUGGCGUGGGGGUCUGGAAUACGUGUGGGCGCUGGUGCGGGGGAGAGGGAAUGGCGACGCGGAAGAGCAGGACAGACGCGGAGGGUCAGAGAGCAGCUUUAUUAAGCAAGCUGGUGGAGGGCUGUGGGUCCCACCACCCCCGGGCUCGGCGCCAGGGCGGAAGGUCCGGGGGUGCCGUUCAGGCCACGUCGACGCGAGCGAAGCUCUGGUCCAUGCCCAGGCUGUUCUCCACGUACACCUCGUACUUGCCGCUGUCCUGAGGCGUGGCCCGGCGAAUGGUCAGCGUCGUGGUGGUGCUGCCGAUCUCGAAGAACACCCUGCGGAAGGGCGGCGGGGAGGAGGGCGGAGCCGUGGUCAGUACACGGGCGCACUGGGCGGGGCUCCUUAGCCAGCUCUGUUCCUCGCUGCCCAGUCCCCGCCCCCGUCACUCCAGCCAGAUUUCUGGGCUCAGUCCCACCCAGGUUCCAGCCCCAGGCCCUGGCCGUGCCGCAGGUCCCGGCCCUCGCCUGUCAUCCUCCUCGAUGUCCUCCCCGUCCUUGGUCCAGCCUACGUCGGGCGCAGGCUCUCCCAGGAUCUCCGCAGUCAGCGUCACGGUGGUGCCUUUGCGCGCCUUAGUGUUGUCGGGUCCCUUUUGAAUCUUCGUCGGGACUAGCGGAAGGAAAGGGGAGCGAAACCCCGUGAAGGACCCGGAGAUGAGGCAGGGCAUCACCUCACCGGCUAAUACCCGGCACUAAAUACAGAUGCAUUUAAACUCGCAGUGUGACGUUGAGCAAAUCAUUAGCCUCUCUGGUUUCAUCUCCUUGGCUGUUAAAGGGACUUAUCCCUGCCUCUCCUACUUCUCGGGGUCGAAUAGAGGAUCAAGAGAGAUAAGGCGGGCGAAAGCCCCUGAAUGUUCACACAUCUCGCGGUGCCUCAGAGACCGCUCCGGGUAGUGGAAAUUGCCAGAGUUGGGAGCCAGAAGACCCGGGUCCAACCCUGGCUCUGCCUCUGGCUUGCUGUGUGACCUUGGGGACCCGGAGCCGCGUGAUGGAAGUCCACAGCUGACUGCUCAGCCCGGGUGGAGCUGGAUCCCGAGGUAGGGAAGGACGCACUUGGCUGGCGCGGCGAUGCGCCCCAGGCCGUGCCCAGAGCUGGGCUGGCGGGGACCCUGUAGCUAGGCCCAGAGGUAAACACGCGCAGCUGGACCGGGCUGCGGGCUCUGGCUGAGUGGUGCUGGUCUGCGCCCUGGCGCUGCGCCCGGGGCGCGCGUACCUUCCACGAGGAUGCGCGCCGAGUCGGAGCACUGGCCGAAGGGGUUGGUGACGUUGAUGCUGUACUGGCCCAGGUCUGCCAGCUCGCCGUCGCGCACCACCAGUGCCACCACGUCAGGGUCCUCGAAGACGUAGCGGUACUUGGGACCGUCACGUAGCUCCUUGCCGUCCUUACUCCAGCGGAUGAAUGGGUCCGGGAAAGCCGAAAUGCGGCAAGUGAGCUUGGCCGCGCUGCCUUCGAUCAGCACCACGUCCUUCAGCGGCUCCAGCACCCGCGGCGGCCCCUUCUCGCGCAGCUCCUUCCGGGACCUACCCGCGGGCCGAGUCAGGGCCCAGAGUUCCUAAGACAGGCCCGGCCACAGCCCUUACCGCGAGCGCACCAUCUCCUACCUGCCCCCUGGACCGGCCAGACCCCUAAACGUGUGGCUUGGUAGGGAAGAGGACUGCUCCUGAACUGCUGCCCUGAUAGGAUGAUGCAUUCCUCCCGGCCACUCCCCCAUACCUCAGUAACGACCCUCCCCUGAGACCACUCAUUCUAAAGGCUCCUGACGCUGCUCAGCGCUUACUCAAACCCUACUCAAGAGUGCGCUCUCUGCAGCUCCCUUCCUCCACAGGGCUCCGGGGUUCCCUCUCACCUGUGGCCCCGGUAAGAGGCCUGGAUACGAAUGGCCGCACUCUGGACCUGUGGGUCAUUGAUGUCCAGGGUACAUCCAGGAGCUGGGGCCACAGCCACUGGCUUUUUGGCAGGAGCUGCUUUAGACAUCUGGGGAGUGGGCGACAAAUAUGGGGGUCCAGGUUGAGACAGAGGCUCCCACCUUCAGCCCUUUUCCUCCCUGGUCAGAACAUUCAGGGAGAUGGAGGAAUGGGGGUGUCUGCGGCUUCUCUGAGGAUCAGACUCACCGUGGAGGGGUUGACCUAGGGACUUGAGUCGACUGGCUGGAUUGCAGGCAGCACAGAGCCCUUCUGGAUGGCACAGUAGGGGUGCAGGCAGGUGCUCAGCCCUGGGCCCGGUUUUAUACAUCGCUCCCCUCCUUGCCUUGUUUGGCGUGGUUGCCCCAAGCCCCCCGGGGCCCCAUCCGCCUCCCUCUGACUCAGGCAGGCUCUUUAUUUAGCCUGUGGAUGCCUGGGAUGCUGGCUCAGCCGCUGGGCUAGGCCCGUGGGGAGAAACCCGAGCAGCUCUGAGGUGCACCUUGCGUCAGCACCUGGACAGCUGGACAGCUGGAUGCUGCCCUGUCCCCUCCCAGGGCAGGGGGUAUCCAUCCCACUCCCAGGAGGACCAGAUUCAGCCCCUAGCUGACAAGAGAUCCAGCUUCCUGCUGGGGCAGCUUUUCAAUCAGGUUGGGCUCUGGAUAGUCAGACAACACACCCUGUUGGUUAAGGGGUUUGAGUGUUUCUGGGGUUUCCCUGAAUACAGCCAGAGUAGCAUCGGACUUGGUCCUCAGGGCCCCUACAGCUAACGGCAACAGGGCCACGUGGCUGUCAAGACCAAUCCAGAAGCUCCUUACUCUUCCCCUACCCCCAACCCCAGGAGUCCAGGGUUGUCACUUCCACACUGUGCCCCCUGGCGGUAAACUGAGAUAAACCGGGAGGGGACGGGAAAGAUUUUUGAGAAUAGCAGCCCCUCCAUGCCUUCCCCAUCCCCACUCACUCCCCUCGAUGUCACAUGGUGGGGGCUGUUUAGACUGCACUGUCCUUGGAGAUUAGCACCACUACUGGCCCCAACCCUAGGUCUGCCCAAUUCCUUUUUGGGGGCAUAAAUUGGUGCAUAGGGGCAUCAGACCACCUGGGGUGAAGGGGUUCAGUUAACCCCUCUGGGGAUUGCCUGGAGGCCAGUCUGCCCAGGCCGGGCACCGGGCAGAAGCAUUGCUUCCAUUCAUUGGAACUACCCGCCCUAGUGUGGGGGCACUGUCACGUUUUGAUCAGAGCAAUUUUGACAUAGCUCUGCUGACAUAAAUUACCUUUGCUCCUCCGGGUUUGGAACAAGCAGUUCACAUGCCAUUUCCAAUGGAGAUGGGAAGGGAGCUCAAGAUCAGAGCGGGGACGGGAGAGGAAUUUUACCAUUUAUCAAGAUAUGAGUUCAGGCACCUCAUUUUUAUACAAAACACUUGCAGUGUGUAGGGGAUUGGAGAUUCUUACAGGCAAACUGUAUAUCUUCAUCGCUAAAAUGACAGGUAGGCAAGGUGUCGUUCUGGUCCCUUCCAGCUGGCUUUAACAUCCUGUUAUUUUAUGAUGAUGGGGCUUGCCUCUUCCCUGGGGUCCUGAGAAGCUAGAGAGGCUGGGCUGGGCUGGGCAAAAGGGUUGUCUGGGCUGGAGCCAAGGGGCCCUCAACCUCCAUCAGCAACACAGCAGUGACAACUCUGUCUACCCUGGUCAGAGGCUUUGUUCCUUUUACUUUGCCAAGAACAGAAUUUUGAAGGUGGGGAUGAGGGAAACAUUUCCUCUGGAGACAAGGAGGUCUGGGUCCCUGCCAACCCCCCAAUCCCUCGUCCCCAACCUCAGGGCAGAGCAGCUCAGUCCUAGGUCCCAGUGACCAUUCUAUGGCACGGGUGUGGCUAGAAUUGAGGUGCUUUAGCACCCAGCAGACCUCCUAACUUGCCAUGUGGACAAGAAGGUCCAGGCUGGUGUGUCCCUCAGCCCUAGGAAAAUGCUGGACACAGCAGACUAGAGCACUCCCAGCUGGUGCUCUCCAUGUGCUCUGAUAUGUGCUGUGACAUGGAGGGCAAGGGGUGUGAGCCUGUCCUAGUGUUUCUUUUUGAGAUGGAGUCUCACUCUGUCAUCCAGGCUGGAGCGCAGUGGUGCAAUCUUGGCUCAUUGCAACCUUCACCUCCCAGGUUUAAGCGAUUCUCCUGCCUCAGCCUCCUGAGUAGCUGAGAUCACAGGUGUGCACCACCACGCCUGGCUAAUUUUUGUAUUUUUAGUAGAGACGGGGUUUCAUCAUGUUGGCUAGGCUGGUCUUGAACUCCUGACCUCAGGUGAUCCAGCCACCUUAGCCUCCCUGUCCUGGUUUCUUCUGCAGCUCCUCACACUACCUACUCUCACCAACCAUCAGGAUGAAACCCACUCUGCUCCAGGGGUCAGGACCAGAGCUCCUGCCUGUCUUCUGGGGAGAGUGAACAAGGCUGAGCCAGGAUUGGGGUGAGGGCUGGCCUAUUUCAGAGCCCAGCAUCCCCCACAUUGUGAUGAGGGAACACGUGACAAGAGGUGGGGGCUACUAGAGCCUGGUUGCAGGGGUUCAGUGGAUCUGCCAACAUUCCGGAAACUGCAAGGGGAGAAGCAGACCACAGUCUCCCCUCCCUCCAGGAAUAAGGAGAGGUGAGGGGCCAGGAGGGUCACGGGAGGGGGUUGGAAGGACCCAAAGUGCUAGCUGGUAUAUUCCUGAAUGUGUGUGUUGGGGAAUACCCAGAGAGGGCUAAAUGCCCCUGUCCCGGACUCACCCCUCACCAGCCAUCUUCCCCUCCAGCCAUCCCUCCCAAUAGACACACAG
rnacentral:lncRNA from 1 species